GAUGAACGCUGGCGGCGUGCCUAAUACAUGCAAGUCGAGCGAACAGACGAGGAACUUGCUCCUCUUACGUUAGCGGCGGACGGGUGAGUAACACGCGGGUAACCUACCUAUAAGACUGGGAUAAAUUCGUGAAACCGGAGCUAAUACCGGAUAAUAUAUUGAACCGCAUGGUUCAAUAGUGAAAGACGGUUUUGCUGUCACUUAUAGAUGGAUCCGCGCCGCAUUAGCUAGUUGGUAAGGUAACGGCUUACCAAGGCAACGAUGCGUAGCCGACCUGAGAGGGUGAUCGGCCACACUGGAACUGAGACACGGUCCAGACUCCUACGGGAGGCAGCAGUAGGGAAUAUUGCGCAAUGGGCGAAAGCCUGACGGAGCAACGCCGCGUGAGUGAUGAAGGUCUUCGGAUCGUAAAACUCUGUUAUUAGGGAAGAACAAAUGUGUAAGUAACUAUGCACGUCUUGACGGUACCUACUCAGAAAGCCACGGCUAACUCCGUG
rnacentral:rRNA from 1 species